rnacentral:rRNA from 1 species
AUUGAACGCUGGCGGCAGGCCUAACACAUGCAAGUCGAGCGGUAGCACAGAGAGCUUGCUCUCGGGUGACGAGCGGCGGACGGGUGAGUAAUGUCUGGGAAACUGCCUGAUGGAGGGGGAUAACUACUGGAAACGGUAGCUAAUACCGCAUAACGUCGCAAGACCAAAGUGGGGGACCUUCGGGCCUCAUGCCAUCAGAUGUGCCCAGAUGGGAUUAGCUAGUAGGUGGGGUAAUGGCUCACCUAGGCGACGAUCCCUAGCUGGUCUGAGAGGAUGACCAGCCACACUGGAACUGAGACACGGUCCAGACUCCUACGGGAGGCAGCAGUGGGGAAUAUUGCACAAUGGGCGCAAGCCUGAUGCAGCCAUGCCGCGUGUGUGAAGAAGGCCUUCGGGUUGUAAAGCACUUUCAGCGGGGAGGAAGGCGGUGAGGUUAAUAACCUCAUCGAUUGACGUUACCCGCAGAAGAAGCACCGGCUAACUCCGUGCCAGCAGCCGCGGUAAUACGGAGGGUGCAAGCGUUAAUCGGAAUUACUGGGCGUAAAGCGCACGCAGGCGGUCUGUCAAGUCGGAUGUGAAAUCCCCGGGCUCAACCUGGGAACUGCAUUCGAAACUGGCAGGCUAGAGUCUUGUAGAGGGGGGUAGAAUUCCAGGUGUAGCGGUGAAAUGCGUAGAGAUCUGGAGGAAUACCGGUGGCGAAGGCGGCCCCCUGGACAAAGACUGACGCUCAGGUGCGAAAGCGUGGGGAGCAAACAGGAUUAGAUACCCUGGUAGUCCACGCCGUAAACGAUGUCGAUUUGGAGGUUGUGCCCUUGAGGCGUGGCUUCCGGAGCUAACGCGUUAAAUCGACCGCCUGGGGAGUACGGCCGCAAGGUUAAAACUCAAAUGAAUUGACGGGGGCCCGCACAAGCGGUGGAGCAUGUGGCUUAAUUCGAUGCAACGCGAAGAACCUUACCUGGUCUUGACAUCCACAGAACUUUCCAGAGAUGGAUUGGUGCCUUCGGGAACUGUGAGACAGGUGCUGCAUGGCUGUCGUCAGCUCGUGUUGUGAAAUGUUGGGUUAAGUCCCGCAACGAGCGCAACCCUUAUCCUUUGUUGCCAGCGGUCCGGCCGGGAACUCAAAGGAGACUGCCAGUGAUAAACUGGAGGAAGGUGGGGAUGACGUCAAGUCAUCAUGGCCCUUACGACCAGGGCUACACACGUGCUACAAUGGCAUAUACAAAGAGAAGCGACCUCGCGAGAGCAAGCGGACCUCAUAAAGUAUGUCGUAGUCCGGAUUGGAGUCUGCAACUCGACUCCAUGAAGUCGGAAUCGCUAGUAAUCGUAGAUCAGAAUGCUACGGUGAAUACGUUCCCGGGCCU